rnacentral:ncRNA from 1 species
GUCAACGCGAUGACCAAGAGGAUCGUGGUGCACUUUUUCAGCGACAAGGCGGCUGGUGUGAGCCUUGAAGUGUGCCGCGAUAAGUAGCUUGCGAGCCGGCGACCUGAAGUCAGUAGGGCCGCCCGGGACCACCCGUUAUCAGGUUCAAGUGAAGGCGUUGAGCCUUAAUUUAGGUGGUACCGCGAGCUAACUCGUCCUAAUC